rnacentral:snRNA from 1 species
UGCCACGCAGUGGGGCACAAAGCGAAUUAUUCUUUUACCUUUUACUAAAGAAUACUAUGUGCACGUUGCAAAUAGUGGCCUAGAAAAAAA